rnacentral:rRNA from 1 species
AGAGUUUGAUCAUGGCUCAGAACGAACGUUAGCGGCGCGCUUAACACAUGCAAGUCGUGCGAGAAAGGGGAAACCCCGGUAAAGCGGCGCACGGGUGAGUAACACGUAGGUAAUCUGCCCCCAGGUGGUGGAUAACCUUCCGAAAGGAGGGCUAAUACAGCAUGAGACCACGGAUCCGCAAGGGUCUGAGGUCAAAGCCG